CAGCACCUCAAGUGGUCAGGAUGAUUAUUGGGCCUAAAGCAUCCGUAGCCGGCGCUGUAAGUUUUCGGUUAAAUCUGUACGCUCAACGUACAGGCUGCCGGGAAUACUGCAGCGCUAGGGAGUGGGAGAGGUAGACGGUACUCGGUAGGAAGGGGUAAAAUCCUUUGAUCUAUUGAUGACCACCUGUGGCGAAGGCGGUCUACCAGAACACGUCCGACGGUGAGGGAUGAAAGCUAGGGGAGCGAUCCGGAUUAGAUACCCGAGUAGUCC
rnacentral:rRNA from 1 species